AGAUUAUUUUCAAGACUUUCUACGACCUGGGAUGCACCCCAAAUAGCAACUAGUUCCCGAUGUAGUGGAGCAUUAUGGACACACACAAUAUACCAUCUUACUAUCCCGAUUAGUGGAGCAUUAUGGACACACACAAUAUACCAUCUAAUCAGAUAUGCAUUCUCUAGAGUGAAAAUACCAUCUUUCAUGUCAGAUAUGCAAAGAGACUGAGCUAGAGUGACCUAGAGGUAGUUGUAGGUCUAUGUUACUCUGCUGUAGAGAGACUGAGCUAGAGUGACCUAGAGGUAGUGGUAGGGUCUAUGUUACUCUGCUGUAGAGAGACUGAGCUAGAGUGACCUAGAGGUAGGUUAUGUUACUCUUCUGUAGAGAGACUGAGCUAGAGUGACCUAGAGGUAGUUGUAGGUCUAUGUUACUCUGCUGUAGAGUGACUGAGCUAGAGUGACCUAGAGGUAGUUGUAGGUCUAUGUUACUCUGCUGUAGAGAGACUGAGCUAGAGUGACCUAGAGGUAGUGGUAGGUCUAUGUUACUCUGCUGUAGAGAGACUGAGCUAGAGUGACCUAGAGGUCGUUGUAGGUCUAUGUUACUCUGCUGUAGAAAGACUGAGCUAGAGUGACCUAGAGGUAGUUGUAGGUCUAUGUUACUCUGCUGUAGAGAGACUGAGCUAGAGUGACCUAGAGGUAGUGGUAGGUCUAUGUUACUCUGCUGUAGAGAGACUGAGCUAGAGUGACCUAGAGGUAGUGGUAGGUCUAUGUUACUCUGCCGUAGAGAGACUGAGCUAGAGUGACCUAGAGGUAGUGGUAGGUCUAUGUUACUCUGCCGUAGAGAGACUGAGCUAGAGUGACCUAGAGGGAGUGGUAGGUCUAUGUUACUCUGCUGUAGAGAGACUGAGCUAGAGUGAC